GAUCCUGGCUCAGGACGAACGCUGGCGGCGUGCCUAAUACAUGCAAGUAGAACGCUGAAGGAGGAGCUUGCUUCUCCGGAUGAGUUGCGAACGGGUGAGUAACGCGUAGGUAACCUGCCUGGUAGCGGGGGAUAACUAUUGGAAACGAUAGCUAAUACCGCAUAAUAGCAGUUGUUGCAUGACAACUGUUUAAAAGGUGCAAUUGCAUCACUACCAGAUGGACCUGCGUUGUA
rnacentral:rRNA from 1 species